rnacentral:misc_RNA from 1 species
UUUCCGUAGGUGAACCUGCGGAAGGAUCAUUAAAGUGUUUGGGUCCCCUCGGGGGCCCGACAUCCCACCCUCCUGUUGUUACAUGACAAACGUUGCUUCGGCGGACCGGCCGCGUUCCGACGCGGCCGCCGGGUCCCAAGUCGCCUGGAGAGCGUCCGCCGGAGGAAACAAAACACUAGCCUUUUAACGAGUCGUCAGAAUAGAAUUUACAAAUAAUUCAAAACUUUAAACAACGGAUCUCUUGGUUCUGGCAUCGAUGAAGACGCAGC